AGAGUUUGAUCCUGGCUCAGAUUGAACGCUGGCGGCAGGCCUAACACAUGCAAGUCGAGCGGAUGAAGGGAGCUUGCUCUCUGAUUCAGCGGCGGACGGGUGAGUAAUGUCUAGGAAUCUGCCUGGUAGUGGGGGACAACGUUUCGAAAGGAACGCUAAUACCGCAUACGUCCUACGGGAGAAAGCAGGGGACCUUCGGGCCUUGCGCUAUCAGAUGAGCCUAGGUCGGAUUAGCUAGUUGGUGAGGUAAUGGCUCACCAAGGCGACGAUCCGUAACUGGUCUGAGAGGAUGAUCAGUCACACUGGAACUGAGACACGGUCCAGACUCCUACGGGAGGCAGCAGUGGGGAAUAUUGGACAAUGGGCGAAAGCCUGAUCCAGCCAUGCCGCGUGUGUGAAGAAGGUCUUCGGAUUGUAAAGCACUUUAAGUUGGGAGGAAGGGUUGUAGAUUAAUACUCUGCAAUUUUGACGUUACCGACAGAAUAAGCACCGGCUAACUCUGUGCCAGCAGCCGCGGUAAUACAGAGGGUGCAAGCGUUAAUCGGAAUUACUGGGCGUAAAGCGCGCGUAGGUGGUUCAGUAAGUUGGAAGUGAAAUCCCCGGGCUCAACCUGGGAACUGCUUUCAAAACUGCUGAGCUAGAGUACGGUAGAGGGUGGUGGAAUUUCCUGUGUAGCGGUGAAAUGCGUAGAUAUAGGAAGGAACACCAGUGGCGAAGGCGACCACCUGGACUGAUACUGACACUGAGGUGCGAAAGCGUGGGGAGCAAACAGGAUUAGAUACCCUGGUAGUCCACGCCGUAAACGAUGUCAACUAGCCGUUGGAAUCCUUGAGAUUUUGGUGGCGCAGCUAACGCAUUAAGUUGACCGCCUGGGGAGUACGGCCGCAAGGUUAAAACUCAAAUGAAUUGACGGGGGCCCGCACAAGCGGUGGAGCAUGUGGUUUAAUUCGAAGCAACGCGAAGAACCUUACCUGGCCUUGACAUGCUGAGAACUUUCCAGAGAUGGAUUGGUGCCUUCGGGAACUCAGACACAGGUGCUGCAUGGCUGUCGUCAGCUCGUGUCGUGAGAUGCUGGGUUAAGUCCCGUAACGAGCGCGACCCUUGUCCUUAGUUACCAGCACGUUAUGGUGGGAACUCUAAGGAGACUGCCGGUGACAAACCGGGGGAAGGUGGGGAUGACGUCAAGUCAUCAUGGCCCUUACGGCCAGGGCUACACACGUGCUACAAUGGUCGGUACAAAGGGUUGCCAAGCCGCGAGGUGGAGCUAAUCCCAUAAAACCGAUCGUAGUCCGGAUCGCAGUCUGCAACUCGACUGCGUGAAGUCGGAAUCGCUAGUAAUCGUGAAUCAGAAUGUCACGGUGAAUACGUUCCCGGGCCUUGUACACACCGCCCGUCACACCAUGGGAGUGGGUUGCACCAGAAGUAGCUAGUCUAACCGCAAGGGGGACGGUUACCACUGUGUGAUUCAUGACUGGGGUGAAGUCGUAACAAGGUACCCUA
rnacentral:rRNA from 1 species